rnacentral:rRNA from 1 species
AGCGAACAUUGGCGGUAGGCUUAACACAUGCAAGUCGAGCGAGGCGUAAUAGUCGAGCGGCGAACGGGUGAGUAAUACAUGGGAAUCUACCUUGGAGUGGGGGAUAACAGCCAGAAAUGGCUGCUAAUACCGCAGAAUCCCGAGAGGGGAAAGCGCGCUGCGCUCCAAGAUGAGCCCAUGGCUGAUUAGCUAGUUGGUGGGGUAAAGGCCUACCAAGGCGACGAUCAGUAGCUGGUCUGAGAGGAUGAUCAGCCACACUGGAACUGAGACACGGUCCAGACUCCUACGGGAGGCAGCAGUGGGGAAUCUUGUGCAAUGGGGGCAACCCUGACGCAGCCAUACCGCGUGUGCGAUGAAGGUCUUCGGAUUGUAAAGCACUUUCAGUAGGGACGACGAUGACGGUACCUACAGAAGAAGUCACGGCUAACUUCGUGCCAGCCGCCGCCGUAA